rnacentral:rRNA from 1 species
UACGUAGGGUGCGAGCGUUAAUCGGAAUUACUGGGCGUAAAGCGUGCGCAGGCGGUUUUGUAAGCCAGAUGUGAAAUCCCCGGGCUUAACCUGGGAAUGGCAUUUGGGACUGCAAGGCUGGAGUGUGGCAGAGGAGACUGGAAUUCCCGGUGUAGCAGUGAAAUGCGUAGAUAUCAGGAGGAACACCGGUGGCGAAGGCGGUUCUCUGGGCAUUACCUGACGCUGAGGAGCGAAAGUGUGGGGAGCAAACAGG